CCUACGGGUGGCUGCAGUGGGGAAUAUUGGACAAUGGGCGAAAGCCUGAUCCAGCCAUGCCGCGUGUGUGAAGAAGGCCUUCGGGUUGUAAAGCACUUUCAGUGGGGAAGAAAGCCUUGGGGCUAAUACCCUCGAGGAAGGACAUCACCCACAGAAGAAGCACCGGCUAACUCCGUGCCAGCAGCCGCGGUAAUACGGAGGGUGCGAGCGUUAAUCGGAAUUACUGGGCGUAAAGCGCGCGUAGGCGGUCUGAUAAGCCGGUUGUGAAAGCCCCGGGCUCAACCUGGGAACGGCAUCCGGAACUGUCAGGCUAGAGUGCAGGAGAGGAAGGUAGAAUUCCCGGUGUAGCGGGGAAAUGCGUAGAGAUCGGGAGGAAUACCAGUGGCGAAGGCGGCCUUCUGGACUGACACUGACGCUGAGGUGCGAAAGCGUGGGUAGCAAACAGGAUUAGAUACCCGGUAGUC
rnacentral:rRNA from 1 species